UGGGGCGUAGCCAAGUGGUAAGGCAGCGGAUUUUGAUUCCGCCAUGCGGAGGUUCGAAUCCUCCCGCCCCAGCCA
rnacentral:tRNA from 5 species